rnacentral:rRNA from 1 species
GACGAACGCUGGCGGCGUGCUUAACACAUGCAAGUCGAACGGAAAGGCCCUGCUUUUGUGGGGUGCUCGAGUGGCGAACGGGUGAGUAACACGUGAGUAACCUGCCCUUGACUUUGGGAUAACUUCAGGAAACUGGGGCUAAUACCGGAUAGGAGCUCCUGCUGCAUGGUGGGGGUUGGAAAGUUUCGGCGGUUUGGGAUGGACUCGCGGCUUAUCAGCUUGUUGGUGGGGUAGUGGCUUACCAAGGCUUCGACGGGUAGCCGGCCUGAGAGGGUGACCGGCCACAUUGGGACUGAGAUACGGCCCAGACUGCUACGGGAGGCAGCAGUGGGGAAUAUUGCACAAUGGGCGGAAGUCUGAUGCAGCAACGCCGCGUGCGGGAUGACGGCCUUCGGGUUGUAAACCGCUUUCGCCUGUGACGAAGCGUGAGUGACGGUAAUGGGUAAAGAAGCACCGGCUAACUACGUG